rnacentral:rRNA from 1 species
GGUGAAAAGCACCCCGGAAGGGGAGUGAAAUAGAACCUGAAACCGUGUGCUUACAAGUAGUCAGAGCCCGUUAAUGGGUGAUGGCGUGCCUUUUGUAGAAUGAACCGGCGAGUUACGAUUUGAUGCAAGGUUAAGCAGUAAAUGUGGAGCCGUAGCGAAAGCGAGUCUGAAUAGGGCGUUUAGUAUUUGGUCGUAGACCCGAAACCAGGUGAUCUACCCUUGGUCAGGUUGAAGUUCAGGUAACACUGAAUGGAGGACCGAACCGACUUACGUUGAAAAGUGAGCGGAUGAACUGAGGGUAGCGGAGAAAUUCCAAUCGAACCUGGAGAUAGCUGGUUCUCUCCGAAAUAGCUUUAGGGCUAGCCUCAAGUGAUGAUUAUUGGAGGUAGAGCACUGUUUGGACGAGGGGCCCCUCUCGGGUUACCGAAUUCAGACAAACUCCGAAUGCCAAUUAAUUUAACUUGGGAGUCAGAACAUGGGUGAUAAGGUCCGUGUUCGAAAGGGAAACAGCCCAGACCACCAGCUAAGGUCCCAAAAUAUAUGUUAAGUGGAAAAGGAUGUGGCGUUGCCCAGACAACUAGGAUGUUGGCUUAGAAGCAGCCAUCAUUUAAAGAGUGCGUAAUAGCUCACUAGUCGAGUGACACUGCGCCGAAAAUGUACCGGGGCUAAACAUAUUACCGAAGCUGUGGAUUGUCCUUUGGACAAUGGUAGGAGAGCGUUCUAAGGGCGUUGAAGCAUGAUCGUAAGGACAUGUGGAGCGCUUAGAAGUGAGAAUGCCGGUGUGAGUAGCGAAAGACGGGUGAGAAUCCCGUCCACCGAUUGACUAAGGUUUCCAGAGGAAGGCUCGUCCGCUCUGGGUUAGUCGGGUCCUAAGCUGAGGCCGACAGGCGUAGGCGAUGGAUAACAGGUUGAUAUUCCUGUACCACCUAUAAUCGUUUUAAUCGAUGGGGGGACGCAGUAGGAUAGGCGAAGCGUGCGAUUGGAUUGCACGUCUAAGCAGUAAGGCUGAGUAUUAGGCAAAUCCGGUACUCAUUAAGGCUGAGCUGUGAUGGGGAGAAGACAUUGUGUCUUCGAGUCGUUGAUUUCACACUGCCGAGAAAAGCCUCUAGAUAGAAAAUAGGUGCCCGUACCGCAAACCGACACAGGUAGUCAAGAUGAGAAUUCUAAGGUGAGCGAGCGAACUCUCGUUAAGGAACUCGGCAAAAUGACCCCGUAACUUCGGGAGAAGGGGUGCUCUUUAGGGUUAACGCCCAGAAGAGCCGCAGUGAAUAGGCCCAAGCGACUGUUUAUCAAAAACACAGGUCUCUGCUAAACCGUAAGGUGAUGUAUAGGGGCUGACGCCUGCCCGGUGCUGGAAGGUUAAGAGGAGUGGUUAGCUUCUGCGAAGCUACGAAUCGAAGCCCCAGUAAACGGCGGCCGUAACUAUAACGGUCCUAAGGUAGCGAAAUUCCUUGUCGGGUAAGUUCCGACCCGCACGAAAGGCGUAACGAUUUGGGCACUGUCUCAACGAGAGACUCGGUGAAAUCAUAGUACCUGUGAAGAUGCAGGUUACCCGCGACAGGACGGAAAGACCCCGUGGAGCUUUACUGUAGCCUGAUAUUGAAAUUCGGCACAGCUUGUACAGGAUAGGUAGGAGCCUUUGAAACGUGAGCGCUAGCUUACGUGGAGGCGCUGGUGGGAUACUACCCUAGCUGUGUUGGCUUUCUAACCCGCACCACUUAUCGUGGUGGGAGACAGUGUCAGGCGGGCAGUUUGACUGGGGCGGUCGCCUCCUAAAAGGUAACGGAGGCGCUCAAAGGUUCCCUCAGAAUGGUUGGAAAUCAUUCAUAGAGUGUAAAGGCAUAAGGGAGCUUGACUGCGAGACCUACAAGUCGAGCAGGGUCGAAAGACGGACUUAGUGAUCCGGUGGUUCCGCAUGGAAGGGCCAUCGCUCAACGGAUAAAAGCUACCCCGGGGAUAACAGGCUUAUCUCCCCCAAGAGUUCACAUCGACGGGGAGGUUUGGCACCUCGAUGUCGGCUCAUCGCAUCCUGGGGCUGUAGUCGGUCCCAAGGGUUGGGCUGUUCGCCCAUUAAAGCGGUACGCGAGCUGGGUUCAGAACGUCGUGAGACAGUUCGGUCCCUAUCCGUCGUGGGCGUAGGAAAUUUGAGAGGAGCUGUCCUUAGUACGAGAGGACCGGGAUGGACAUACCUCUGGUGUACCAGUUGUCGUGCCAACGGCAUAGCUGGGUAGCUAUGUGU